CAGCUGGAGGUCACCAGUGGACUUUAUGUUGGUGGCGGUAUAAAAGAUGGAGACGACGGGUAGUGGACAUUGUGGCCUGUGACUCCCUGACAAGUGAACACCUUCAGGUCCCCAAGAUGGUCUCCAGAGCUGUGAUGAUGAUGGUGUUGGUGGUGGCCGCUGUCCUGGUGGCGGCCCUGGCCGGUCCCGCGGCAGCCCCAGUAGGUCACCCAGGAUAUCUUGGCUACGGUGGAUAUGGUGGUUAUGGCGGAUAUGGUGGUUAUGGUGGAUAUGGUGGAUAUGGACGUGGAUUUGGAUUUGGACGUCGAUUUGGAUAUGGACGCUGAGGCCAAGUUGGUUGACGUAAUUCUCCUCUCGAAGUUAACUAUUUGAAAUAACUUUAUGAGCUGUUCCUUGUGUAUAUCCAUGUUUAUAUGUACCUGUAUAUAUUCCUGUUUAUACACGUGUUCAUGUACUUAUGUGUACACCACUUGACUAAUUAAAUUUAACUGAAAAUUU